AACGAACGUUGGCGGCGUGGAUUAGGCAUGCAAGUCGAACGAGAAAGCCACCUUCGGGUGGUUAGUAAAGUGGCGAACGGGUGAGUAACGCGUGGGAAUCUGCCCUACAGUUGGGGAUAACACUCCUAACGGAGUGCUAAUACCGAAUGAGACCACGAGAUCGCAUGGUCUUGAGGUUGAAGGUGGCCUCUCCUUGGAAGCUACCGCUGCAGGAGGAUCCCGCGUCCCAUUAGCUUGUUGGCAGGGUAACGGCCUACCAAGGCUUCGAUGGGUAGCUGGUCUGAGAGGAUGGUCAGCCACACUGGGACUGAGAUACGGCCCAGACUCCUACGGGAGGCAGCAGUCGAGAGGCUUCGGCAAUGGGGGAAACCCUGACCGAGCGACGCCGCGUGGCGAUGAAGGUUGUAAGAUCGUAAAGCCCUGUCAGGAGGGAAGAACUGCCAAUGGGCAAACAGGCCAUUGGUUUGACGGUACCUCCAGAGGAAGCUCCGGCUAACUCCGUGCCAG
rnacentral:rRNA from 1 species